ACGCCCACUCGCUGUCCUAAGGGACCUUAAUGAGCUCCCACUCCUUGCAGCGAAGCUCUCCUGGUUUCCCUGCUUCCUUUCUGAAUCCUCCCAGCCCCUGGCAACCACAUUCUCCUUUCUGUCUAUGCGAAUUGGACUACUCCGGGGGCCACCGAUGACUGGAGUCAUGCUGUGUUGUCUCUUUGUGACUGGAAUCCUGUCUCUUUAACAUCCUUGGAUCUGUCCCUCCUCUCCCUUCUCACGGCACUGCCUCUUAUGAUCUCAGAAGCUCUAAAGAAGCAGCGCUGCCCCUGCCUAGCGGAGGAGACUGGGACUCCCCACAUCUCUCUGUGUUCCCAGAUUGAGCCGGGCAAGAUCACAUCUGACAUCUGCACAUCUCAGCGCCCAGCCCCUGCCUGGCUCAGAGUGAAGUGUCUUCCAAUCCAUUGAAAUUUCUAGUCCCGGGGUCUCGAGGACACUAGGGCCACUGUGCAAUGGCAGAAGGAGCAUUGCCAUAGAAGUCAGGGGGCCUGGUUACAAGUCCUGACUUUAGUUGAGGACCUGCCAUAUGACCUUGAGCAAACUGCUGUACUUCUCUGGAUCUCAGUUUCUACAACCUAAUUCACUGGGCCCAGCCUGCAGCCUGCAAGCACCGGAUGAGUGGACGUGGCUGAGCAGCCAUGAGAAAGAUGUGGGGCUCUC
rnacentral:lncRNA from 10 species